rnacentral:rRNA from 1 species
GAUCAUGGCUCAGGAUGAACGCUGGCGGCGUGCUUAACACAUGCAAGUCGAACGAAGACAUCUGAGUGCUUGCACUUGGAUGGACUGAGUGGCGGACGGGUGAGUAACGCGUGGGUAACCUGCCUUAUACAGGGGGAUAACAGUUGGAAACGACUGCUAAUACCGCAUAAGCGCACGGUAUCGCAUGAUACAGUGUGAAAAACUCCGGUGGUAUAAGAUGGACCCGCGUCUGAUUAGCUAGUUGGUGAGGUAACGGCCCACCAAGGCGACGAUCGGUAGCCGGACUGAGAGGUUGAACGGCCACAUUGGGACUGAGACACGGCCCAGACUCCUACGGGAGGCAGCAGUGGGGAAUAUUGCACAAUGGGGGAAACCCUGAUGCAGCGACGCCGCGUGGAGGAAGAAGGUCUUCGGAUUGUAAACUCCUGUUGUUGAGGAAGAUAAUGACGGUACUCAACGAGGGAGUGACGGCUAACUACGUG